AACGCACCUUGCGCUCCUUGGUAUUCCGAGGAGCAUGCCUGUUUGAGUGUCAUUAAUAUAUCAACCUUCACUUGUUGAGUGGUUUGGAUGUGGGGGGGUUUGCUGGCCUCUUAAACGGUUCAGCUCCCCUGAAAUGCAUUAGCAGAACAACCCUGUUCAUUGGUGUGAUAACUAUCUACGCUAUUGAAUGUGAGGGGAAUUUCAGCUUUCUAACAGUCCUUGGACAAUUCAUUAUUAAUGUGACCUCAAAUCAGGUAGGACUACCCGCUGAACUUAA
rnacentral:misc_RNA from 2 species